rnacentral:rRNA from 1 species
CGGGAAAAGCUCAAAUUUAAAAUCUGGCAGUCUUUGGCUGUCCGAGUUGUAAUUUAGAGAAGCGUUAUCCGCGCUGGACCGUGUAUAAGUCUCCUGGAAUGGAGCGUCAUAGAGGGUGAGAAUCCCGUCUUUAACACGGACUACCAGGGCUUUGUGAUGCGCUCUCGAA